rnacentral:rRNA from 1 species
AUUGAACGCUGGCGGCAUGCCUUACACAUGCAAGUCGAACGGCAGCACGGGAGCAAUCAGUGGUGGCGAGUGGCGAACGGGUGAGUAAUAUAUCGGAACGUGCCCAGUCGUGGGGGAUAACGUAGCGAAAGCUACGCUAAUACCGCAUACGAUCUACGGAUGAAAGCGGGGGAUCGCAAGACCUCGCGCGAUUGGAGCGGCCGAUAUCAGAUUAGGUAGUUGGUGAGGUAAAGGCUCACCAAGCCGACGAUCUGUAGCUGGUCUGAGAGGACGACCAGCCACACUGGGACUGAGACACGGCCCAGACUCCUACGGGAGGCAGCAGUGGGGAAUUUUGGACAAUGGGCGCAAGCCUGAUCCAGCAAUGCCGCGUGCAGGAUGAAGGCCUUCGGGUUGUAAACUGCUUUUGUACGGAACGAAACGGUGAGCUCUAAUACAGUUUGCUAAUGACGGUACCGUAAGAAUAAGCACCGGCUAACUACGUG